AUUGAACGCUGGCGGCAGGCCUAACACAUGCAAGUCGAGCGGUAGAGAGGAGCUUGCUCCUCUUGAGAGCGGCGGACGGGUGAGUAAUGCCUAGGAAUCUGCCUGGUAGUGGGGGAUAACGUUCGGAAACGGACGCUAAUACCGCAUACGUCCUACGGGAGAAAGCAGGGGACCUUCGGGCCUUGCGCUAUCAGAUGAGCCUAGGUCGGAUUAGCUAGUUGGUGAGGUAAUGGCUCACCAAGGCGACGAUCCGUAACUGGUCUGAGAGGAUGAUCAGUCACACUGGAACUGAGACACGGUCCAGACUCCUACGGGAGGCAGCAGUGGGGAAUAUUGGACAAUGGGCGAAAGCCUGAUCCAGCCAUGCCGCGUGUGUGAAGAAGGUCUUCGGAUUGUAAAGCACUUUAAGUUGGGAGGAAGGGCAGUAAAUUAAUACUUUGCUGUUUUGACGUACCGACAGAAUAAGCACCG
rnacentral:rRNA from 1 species